GUUUCGGUGGCCGAGUGGUUAAGGCGUUGUACUCAGAAAUCCAAUGGGAUCUUCCCGCGCAGGCCCGAAUCCUGCCCGCAACG
rnacentral:tRNA from 1 species